rnacentral:rRNA from 1 species
GACGAACGCUGGCGGCGUGCCUAAUACAUGCAAGUAGAACGCUGAAGGAGGAGCUUGCUCUUCUGGAUGAGUUGCGAACGGGUGAGUAACGCGUAGGUAACCUGCCUGGUAGCGGGGGAUACUAUUGGAAACGAUAGCUAAUACCGCAUAACAGUAGAUGUUGCAUGACAUUUGCUUAAAAGGUGCAAUUGCAUCACUACCAGAUGGACCUGCGUUGUAUUAGCUAGUUGGUGGGGUAACGGCUCACCAAGGCGACGAUACAUAGCCGACCUGAGAGGGUGAUCGGCCACACUGGGACUGAGACACGGCCCAGACUCCUACGGGAGGCAGCAGUAGGGAAUCUUCGGCAAUGGACGGAAGUCUGACCGAGCAACGCCGCGUGAGUGAAGAAGGUUUUCGGAUCGUAAAGCUCUGUUGUAAGAGAAGAACGAGUGUGAGAGUGGAAAGUUCACACUGUGACGGUAUCUUACCAGAAAGGGACGGCUAACUACGUG